rnacentral:rRNA from 1 species
UUUAUGGAGAGUUUGAUCCUGGCUCAGAGUGAACGCUGGCGGCGUGCCUAAUACAUGCAAGUCGAACGAUGAAGCUUCUAGCUUGCUAGAAUGCUGAUUAGUGGCGCACGGGUGAGUAACGCAUAGGUCAUGUGCCUCUUAGUUUGGGAUAGCCAUUGGAAACGAUGAUUAAUACCAGAUACUCCCUACGGGGGAAAGAUUUAUCGCUAAGAGAUCAGCCUAUGUCCUAUCAGCUUGUUGGUAAGGUAAUGGCUUACCAAGGCUAUGACGGGUAUCCGGCCUGAGAGGGUGAACGGACACACUGGAACUGAGACACGGUCCAGACUCCUACGGGAGGCAGCAGUAGGGAAUAUUGCUCAAUGGGGGAAACCCUGAAGCAGCAACGCCGCGUGGAGGAUGAAGGUUUUAGGAUUGUAAACUCCUUUUGUUAGAGAAGAUAAUGACGGUAUCUAACGAAUAAGCACCGGCUAACUCCGUGCCAGCAGCCGCGGUAAUACGGAGGGUGCAAGCGUUACUCGGAAUCACUGGGCGUAAAGAGCGCGUAGGCGGGAUAGUCAGUCAGGUGUGAAAUCCUAUGGCUUAACCAUAGAACUGCAUUUGAAACUACUAUUCUAGAGUGUGGGAGAGGUAGGUGGAAUUCUUGGUGUAGGGGUAAAAUCCGUAGAGAUCAAGAGGAAUACUCAUUGCGAAGGCGACCUGCUGGAACAUUACUGACGCUGAUUGUGCGAAAGCGUGGGGAGCAAACAGGAUUAGAUACCCUGGUAGUCCACGCCCUAAACGAUGGAUGCUAGUUGUUGGAGGGCUUAGUCUCUCCAGUAAUGCAGCUAACGCAUUAAGCAUCCCGCCUGGGGAGUACGGUCGCAAGAUUAAAACUCAAAGGAAUAGACGGGGACCCGCACAAGCGGUGGAGCAUGUGGUUUAAUUCGAAGAUACACGAAGAACCUUACCUAGGCUUGACAUUGAGAGAAUCCGCUAGAAAUAGUGGAGUGUCUGGCUUGCCAGACCUUGAAAACAGGUGCUGCACGGCUGUCGUCAGCUCGUGUCGUGAGAUGUUGGGUUAAGUCCCGCAACGAGCGCAACCCCCUUUCUUAGUUGCUAACAGGUCAUGCUGAGAACUCUAAGGAUACUGCCUCCGUAAGGAGGAGGAAGGUGGGGACGACGUCAAGUCAUCAUGGCCCUUACGCCUAGGGCUACACACGUGCUACAAUGGGGUGCACAAAGAGAAGCAAUACUGCGAAGUGGAGCCAAUCUUCAAAACGCCUCUCAGUUCGGAUUGUAGGCUGCAACUCGCCUGCAUGAAGCUGGAAUCGCUAGUAAUCGCAAAUCAGCCAUGUUGCGGUGAAUACGUUCCCGGGUCUUGUACUCACCGCCCGUCACACCAUGGGAGUUGUGUUUGCCUUAAGUCAGGAUGCUAAAUUGGCUACUGCCCACGGCACACACAGCGACUGGGGUGAAGUCGUAACAAGGUAACCGUAGGUGAACCUGCGGUUGGAUCACCUCCUUU